rnacentral:rRNA from 1 species
AACGAACGCUGGCGGCAUGCCUAACACAUGCAAGUCGAACGAGACCUUCGGGUCUAGUGGCGCACGGGUGCGUAACGCGUGGUAACCUGCCCUUAGGUUCGGAAUAACUCCCCGAAAGGGGUGCUAAUACCGGAGAAUGUCUUCGGACCAAAGAUGUAUCGCUGUUGGAUGGGCCCGCGUUGGUUUAGUUGGUUGGUAGGGUAAAAGCCUACCAAGGCGACGAUCCAGAGCUGGUCUGAGAGGAUGCUCAGCCACAAUGGGACUGAGACACGGACCAGAAUCCUACGGGAGGCAGCAGUAGGGAAUAUUGGACACUGAGCCAAAGCCUGACAAAGCCAUGCCGCGUGAGUGAUCAAGGCCUUAGGGUUGUAAAGCUCUUUUACCCGGGAUGAUAAUGACAGUACCGGGAGAAUAAGCUCCGGCUAACUCCGUG